GGGGAUGUAGUAUAGUGGUAUUAUGUUCGCUUCGCAUGUGAAAGGUCCCCGGUUCGAUCCCGGGCAUCUCCA